CGAAACAGUGAUGUGGAGUAAAACUUAUAAAAGCGACCUCAGUUCGGAUUGAAGGCUGAAAUUCGCCUUCAUGAAGUCGGAAUUGCUAGUAAUGGCAGGUCAGCAUACUGCCGUGAAUACGUUCCCGGGCCUUGUACACACCGCCCGUCACACCAUGAGAGUUGGAGAUACCCGAAGCCUAUGAGCUAACUUUUAGAGGCAGUAGUCGAAGGUAGAAUCAAUGAUUGGGGUGAAGUCGUAACAAGGUAUC
rnacentral:rRNA from 1 species